UAUAUAUAUAUAUAUUUCUAUUUCCACUCCGUUUAAUUUGCAGAAAUGGCAGGGUUGCUAUACGGCAGGACGGGGAGGCUAUUCCACAUUUUCUUCAUUAUUGUAAUUGGCUGCGACUGCAAAAGGUUUGGGGAUGCUCGGCUUUUUAUCUACGCUGCAAAAAAUAUCCGUAUGGACAUAGUCAUUUAGUUAAAACCUUGUUGUUGUUGUUUUUGCUUAGAAAUCAGUGGUGUGUGAUGACAGCUCCACUUGGUUCCAUUACACACGGGCGUUUUAUUACAUUGGCCAUGAUUUACUUCAUGUCAAGAGUUAGAUGUGCUGUAAUGUGUUUUUUUUAAAGAAAUUAUUGGGAGAAAAAUGAAAACAAAAAAAGCUUUUGGGAAACAGAAUUGGCAGAAUGUGUGUCCUCUGCUUUUGUGGGGAAAAUUAACAUUGCAAAGGUAAAAAAAAACCAACAACAACAAAUCACUUUAGAUGGACUUUUAGUUUGUUUUUGCAGAGUAAAUCACUGUUGUUUUAUGUACUUGCCUACAUCACUGCCUUUGUCUGCAUGUUAACUCCACAUACAGUCACACUUUGGAGGGGGGAGAGAAAUAACUGUAUUCAUUAUUCUUUGCAUCUCCUUCUUAGUCCAUUCUUCAAUUGCAGCCCCCUAACGAAAACCAUCCAAAGUGAAGUGGGAGAUCAGACAGCUUGCACAAAGUGUGUAACCCAGCAGUGACAGAGACGACCGCAGCCUCUGCCUCUGUAGGAAUAUUCCAAUGAUAGGCCACUAAAGGAGCUGGGGGAAAAAAAAUACCAUAAAGUACAAUAAAGUGACGGUAAAGUUACUACAGAGAGCAGCAGCCGCACUGCGAGUCCCUGCAGGAAUAUUACAGGACUAUCACCGGGGGUAUUCCAGGAUUAUUACAGGGAUUUUUUUUUUUUUCCCGUCCUGGACUCCACUUUAACAGGAUGAAUCUCGAAUUUAUUAAAGAAGUCAACCAUCUCAGCCAUGUCUGACUUGCCAGAGAGGGAGAGAGAGGGGAGAGAGAGGGAGAGAGAGAGAGAGAGAGAGAGAGAGAGAGAGAGAUGGAAGCUCCACCUUUGCAGCUCUGUGAUUGGUUAUGUAAAUAAAGCAUUAUUUUGUGUCCUGUCUGUCCUCCUGCAGUUCGCCACUGUAUGGCUAAUUAAAUCAUCAAUCAAGGGGCUGAACUGGUUGUUGCCCCCCCCCCUCCCUAUACCACCCACCACCCCGCCCCCCCCCAAAAAAAAAAGAAAAAAAGAAAGCCAAUCAGAUGCAGCUAAAAGACAUCUCAGACCAACAGAAUCGUAGGUAGCUUUCUGGUAGGAAUUUGUAUAUAAACGGUUUGAUUUUUUACUGUUUUUGUGUAACACCACUUAUGUUUUUUAUUAUUAUUAUUAUCAUCAUACCAUUAACAGUACUAAUCAUUUGUAUUUUUAUUAUAAUCAUUACAAUUAUCAUCAUCAUAGAAGUAUUCCAUAACUUGUCUGCAUGGAUCCGGAGGACUCAAAUGCCAAAUGGAGUUUUUUUGUUUUGUUUUUGAGGAGGGAGGUCAGACGCUCCUGUUUUUCCUCGGGUCGGAAGUGGAUCCAGUCCUGGGUGAAUUAUUGUCAUGCGUAAUUUACUGCCACGGUGCUUGCAUGUAAACGAAGCAGUCCGGCACCCUCUCUCUCUCUCUCUCUCCCACACACACACACACACACACACACACACACACACACACACACACACACACAUUUGAACCGUAGCUCCAACUCUGUGUCCCAUUCACCCAAGCGAGUUUGGAGUGGCAACUCUCGCCUUCUAUUUUUUUUUUUUUACACACACACACACACACACACACACACACACACAGGCUCUCCUUCGUGGGGCUCCACAUAUUCACCGUGAAAAUGGAUUACAGUCGGUGUGUGACCUAUAGGGGGACCUUGUGCUUAAUGAAUAUAUUGAUUUAAAUGGGGGGGGGGGGCACUUUUAGUUUCACAUUAAAAGUGCAACGUGUUGAUGCACUGUGCGAGUGAAUUAACUAUUAAGGCAAUUUGUAAUGUUUGGGAGAAAUUGUUAUUCACGAGGUUGAUUGUCAACUAAAACAUGCUGACCGAUUUGUAAUGAUUGAAAUCAUUUGGAAUGAAUUGUGUGUUUUUUUCAUUAUUGUAUUGCUCGGUGCAUGUUGUUCUCUCUUCUGUGUUUGUAUGUGUUUUUAAUUUUUUAUUUCUCUGAAUAAAGAUUUGAAGCUUU